UACGUAGGGUGCGAGCGUUGUCCGGAAUUAUUGGGCGUAAAGGGCUCGUAGGCGGUUCGUCGCGUCGGGAGUGAAAAUCCAGGGCUUAACUCUGGACUGGCUUUCGAUACGGGCAGACUAGAGGUAUGCAGGGGAGAACGGAGUUCCUGGUGUAGCGGUGAAAUGCGCAGAUAUCAGGAGGAACACCGGUGGCGAAGGCGGUUCUCUGGGCAUUACCUGACGCUGAGGAGCGAAAGUGUGGGGAGCGAACAGG
rnacentral:rRNA from 1 species